AUACGGAGGACGCGAGCGUUAUCCGGAUUCAUUGGGUUUAAAGGGUGCGCAGGCGGCCGUGCAAGUCAGCGGUGAAAGCCCGGGGCUCAACCCCGGAAGUGCCGUUGAUACUGCAUGGCUGGAAUGCGGUCGAGGCGGGCGGAACGUGGCGUGUAGCGGGGAAAUGCGUAGAUAUGCCACAGAACGCCGAUAGCGGAGGCAGCUCGCCAGGCCUGCAUUGACGCUCGGGCACGAAAGCGUGGGGAUCGAACAGGAUUAGAUACCCUGGUAGUCCACGCAGUAAACGAUGAUGGCUAACCGCUGGUUUAUUCGGAUCAGUGGCCAAGCGAAAGCGAUAAGCCAUCCACCUGGGGAGUACGACCGCAAGGUUGAAACUCAAAUGAAUUGACGGGG
rnacentral:rRNA from 1 species